AUUGAACGCUGGCGGCAUGCUUUACACAUGCAAGUCGAACGGCAGCGCGGGCUUCGGCCUGGCGGCGAGUGGCGAACGGGUGAGUAAUACAUCGGAACGUGCCCAGUAGUUGGGGAUAGCUCGGCGAAAGCCGGAUUAAUACCGCAUACGACCUGAGGGUGAAAGCGGGGGAUCUUCGGACCUCGCGCUAUUGUAGCGGCCGAUGGCAGAUUAGCUAGUUGGUGGGGUAAAGGCCUACCAAGGCGACGAUCUGUAGCUGGUCUGAGAGGACGACCAGCCACACUGGGACUGAGACACGGCCCAGACUACUACGGGAGGCAGCAGUGGGGAAUUUUGGACAAUGGGCGAAAGCCUGAUCCAGCAAUGCCGCGUGUGUGAUGAAGGCCUUCGGGUUGUAAAGCACUUUUGGCGGGAACGAAAAGGACUGUGCCAAUACCACGGUUCGAUGACGGUACCCGCAGAAUAAGCACCGGCUAACUACGUG
rnacentral:rRNA from 1 species